UGACUUGCUAGCUCAGCUGGGAGAGCACCAUCUUGACAGGGUGGGGGUCAGUGGUUCGAGCCCACUGCAGGUCAUCCA
rnacentral:tRNA from 1 species